rnacentral:rRNA from 1 species
AGUGAACGCUGGCGGUAGGCCUAACACAUGCAAGUCGAACGGCAGCACAGUAAGAGCUUGCUCUUACGGGUGGCGAGUGGCGGACGGGUGAGGAAUACAUCGGAAUCUACUUUUUCGUGGGGGAUAACGUAGGGAGACUUACGCUAAUACCACAUACGACCUACGGGUGAAAGCAGGGGAUCUUCGGACCUUGCGCGAUUGAAUGAGCCGAUGUCGGAUUAGCUAGUUGGCGGGGUAAAGGCCCACCAAGGCGACGAUCCGUAGCUGGUCUGAGAGGAUGAUCAGCCACACUGGAACUGAGACACGGUCCAGACUCCUACGGGAGGCAGCAGUGGGGAAUAUUGGACAAUGGGCGCAAGCCUGAUCCAGCCAUACCGCGUGGGUGAAGAAGGCCUUCGGGUUGUAAAGCCCUUUUGUUGGGAAAGAAAAGCAGCAGGUUAAUACCCCGCUGUUCUGACGGUACCCAAAGAAUAAGCACCGGCUAACUUCGUG